AUUGAACGCUGGCGGCAUGCCUUACACAUGCAAGUCGAACGGCAGCACGGGUGCUUGCACCUGGUGGCGAGUGGCGAACGGGUGAGUAAUACAUCGGAACGUACCUUAUCGUGGGGGAUAACGCAGCGAAAGCUGUGCUAAUACCGCAUACGCCCUGAGGGGGAAAGCGGGGGAUCGAAAGACCUCGCGCGAUUAGAGCGGCCGAUGCCUGAUUAGCUUGUUGGUGGGGUAAAAGCCCACCAAGGCGACGAUCAGUAGCUGGUCUGAGAGGACGAUCAGCCACACUGGGACUGAGACACGGCCCAGACUCCUACGGGAGGCAGCAGUGGGGAAUUUUGGACAAUGGGGGCAACCCUGAUCCAGCAAUGCCGCGUGAGUGAAGAAGGCCUUCGGGUUGUAAAGCUCUUUUGUCAGGGAAGAAACACCGGCUCUAACACAGUCCGGGAAUGACGGUAC
rnacentral:rRNA from 8 species